CCAAAGAGAGCAAUGCAACUCUGGCAGUAGCAAAAAUGUUGUGCCUCUCCUUUCCUCACUCCUAAUUUCCCAUCCCAGAGAAGGGUCAGAAACCAUCUUCUGCAAGAUGGGAGGAAGGGUAGCAGCCAGACUGCAAAAAGGGAGAAGAAACCAGCUACCUCUUGCUGUUCUCAGUGGCAGACUCCCCACCUGCAACAGGUCAGGUCUGUUACUGGAGAGAAAAGACAGGACAUUUUUAAAUUCUAGGUAUAGAGCAAUAAAAGAAGAAUUCAAGCAAAGGGAUCAGGAAGAGGAUUGCUACUAAGAGGCAGAGAAACCAAUGAAGCCUUUUGCCAUCUCACACUGGAAAGACAAAAAGUCAUAGAGGCUUGAUUUUUAUAAGGAAAGAGAAGUGAGAAACUGACCUCGAUACUUUGUUGGACUUGCCUAAAGACAUUUGCUGAAUUCUCGGGCUGUGCUGGGAUGGAGAUUAGAGGCCAAAUAAAAACCUCUGGUAAGUAGUGCACAGGUUUUGGUAAUCACUUAUUGCUGAAAAGGGAGGUAUUAGAUGUCAGACCUCCAUAAG
rnacentral:lncRNA from 1 species